rnacentral:lncRNA from 1 species
UAGUAGAAGGAUCUUCUUCUGGAUGUUGACCCUUUAAAAAAGGAAAGAAGAGCAAGAAGAACAAGAAAAGGAUGCAAAGUGCUGGGCACCCAAGCCCAGUCAGACCAAAAAAUUCAAGUUUGAUUAGAGUCAGGUGAAAUGCUUCUUCUGCAAGAAGCAAGGGCACUGGAAGAAGAAUUAUCCUCAGUACAUUGCCUCCUU